CGGAGGGUGCAAGCGUUAUCCGGAUUCACUGGGUUUAAAGGGUGCGUAGGUGGGCAGGUAAGUCAGUGGUGAAAUCCUGUAGCUUAACUACAGAACUGCCAUUGAUACUAUCUGUCUUGAAUACCCUGGAGGUGAGCGGAAUAUGUCAUGUAGCGGUGAAAUGCUUAGAUAUGACAUAGAACACCCAUUGCGAAGGCAGCUCACUACGGGAAUAUUGACGCUGAGGCACGAAAGCGUGGGGAUCAAACAGGAUUAGAUACCCUGGUAGUCCACGCCCUAAACGAUGAUCACUCGACAUCAGCGAUAAACUGUUGGUGUCUGAGCAAAAGCAUUAAGUGAUCCACCUGGGAAGUACGAUCGCAAGACUG
rnacentral:rRNA from 1 species